UACAGAGGCCUCAAGCGUUAGGCGGAAUCACUGGGCUUAAAGCGCGUGUAGGUGGACUUUUAAGUGCUUUGUGAAAUCCCACGGCUCAACCGUGGAACUGCUGGGCAUACUGGAAGUCUUGGGCCAUCCAGGGGGCAACCGGAACAAGCGGUGGAGCGGUGAAAUGCGUAGAUAUCGCUUGGAACGCCAAAGGUGAAGACAGGUUGCUGGAGAUGUGCCGACACUGAGACGCGAAAGCCAGGGGAGCAAACGGG
rnacentral:rRNA from 1 species